rfam:Astyanax mexicanus chromosome 25, whole genome shotgun sequence.
UAGGAACAAGCUUGUAAGUCGCUCUGGAUAAGAGCAUCAGCUAAAUGCCAUAAU